rnacentral:rRNA from 1 species
GACGAACGCUGGCGGCGUGCUUAACACAUGCAAGUCGAACGGUAAGGCCCUUCGGGGUACACGAGUGGCGAACGGGUGAGUAACACGUGGGUGAUCUGCCCUGCACUUCGGGAUAAGCCUGGGAAACUGGGUCUAAUACCGGAUAGGACCACUGCCUGCAUGGGUGGUGGUGGAAAGCUUUUGCGGUGUGGGAUGGGCCCGCGGCCUAUCAGCUUGUUGGUGGGGUGACGGCCUGCCAAGGCGACGACGGGUAGCCGGCCUGAGAGGGUGACCGGCCACACUGGGACGGAGAUACGGCACAGACUCCUACGGGAGGCGGCAGUGGGGAAUAUUGCACAAUGGGCGGAAGCCUGUUGCAGCGACGCCGCGUGAGGGAUGACGGCCUUCGGGUUGUAAACCUCUUUCAGCACCGACGAAGCGCAAGUGACGGUAGGUGCAGAAGAAGGACCGGCCAACUACGUGCCAGCAGCCGCCGUAA